UGGAGUGCUUGGCCUUGGGUGUGUCAGCAUGAAAAAUCCCAUUUUUUGGGAAUUCUUUGAGCUGUGCUUUCCCUCCCAAUCUGUUUUUGGGAAGCUCCACAUGAUCAGUUCUUUAGAAAACAUAAUUUAUUUUAUAUUCUUUUUUUUUUUUUUUUUUUUUUGGGGUGGGGGUUUGAGAAAUUAGCUUGAGGUUGUGUUUAUAAAAGGUGUCUUGGUGGUAGAGAAAUUUCUUGUAGAAAAAUGGCAUUAAACUAAUUUUAUUUAAUAUGACCUAAAUUAAAUACUUUGGGGUUGGGUUUAUUUUUUUUUUUUUAAGUUUUUUUAAAUUCAAUUCACACAGCUUUUCCUACAGAUCCCUAUUUUCUUUGGGAAUAGGACAUCAAACUGAUGCAGAGCUGAUGUUUUGCUAAAUCCUAUUUGCUUUCCACAUCAUCAAUUAACAAAAUUUGCUAAUUUGCACUGAGACCUGUCACCAACCCCCAAAACUUUGUGAGAAAAAGUUCAGGUGGAAUGUUCAUUCUGAUGAAUGCUAAAAAAAAAAGUGAAAAAUGAGAAAAAUAUUAAAAACCAGGUGAGAUUUUAGGGUGCUGUGAGUGCAGAAUUGUCUCUGGGGAUAAAGGUUUGGGGUGGAAAAAGGGACUGAGGAUUUUUUGGUGUGGAAGAGAUGAUUGGGGAGGUUCUGCUGCCUUGGGUUUGGUGUCUCUGAUCUGCCUGGGGAGGGUUUGGGAUGCCAAUUUAAAUUGUCCCAGCCCUAAAGAGCUGCAGAGGAUUUUGAGGAGCUCCAGGGACUCCUAAAUAUCUGAAUUUGGUGAUGCUGCUGUCAGGGAGGUGAAUUCAACUUUUGGGAAUCUGCUUUAUAACCCCAGAAAAAAAAAAAAAAAGGAAUUUUUAUUAUAUUUUUUUUUCCUUUUCUUCAGGAAAAUGAAUAUUCCAAUAUUGGAUUCCUGUGGGAUUUGAUGAUCCUUAGAGAUUCCCUCCCAUCCUGAGGGGUUCUCUGGGGUUUGGGAAAUUUUUUUUUGGGAGAAAACAGAGUUUUGUCAGCUCCUCCAGAGCAGAUCACCUUACCUGGAGCAUCCCCCAACCUCCCAAAAAUUGUGGGACAGGUGGGAAAGGAUGGAAAGUUCAGGAAAGAAGGUUUGAGGUGUGGGGUGUGAUUGUGACAUGGCUUUGAGACAUCACCCAAAAAAUCACCAAAAAAAACCCUAAAAACUUGCUCUGCUUUGGGAUAAAUUUGGAAUCAACACUGUGUGAAUUGUCACCUCCAUGUGGAAAAUCCCCCAGGAUUUUGUGGUUUGUGUCUGAACUCACCCGGGGCCAGGUGUAGAUGUAGCAUCCAACCCCUCCCUGUGUCCCAGCCUGGCAAUAUUGAAUUUCCCAGCUGGAAUUCUGCAUUAAAAACCAGGGGAUUAUUCUGGAAUAAAAACCCAGGAGAUUCCAGGCCUGCUCAGACAGCACAGCCUCCUGGUGGUGUUGGUUUUGGUAAGGAAAGGUCUAAAAAAAUUAAAAAUCCACUGCAGGUUCCAAUAAUCCUGAGCUGGGUUGGAACUGGGUGAUCUUAAAGUCUAAAAAAUUAAAAAUCCACUGAAGAUUCUUCUGAUGCUCCAAAAAUCCUGAGUUGAGUUGGAACUGGGUGAUCUUAAAGGUCUAAAAAAUUAAAAUUCCACUGAAAUUUCUCCUGAUGCACCAAUAAUCCUGAGCUGGAACUGAGUGAUCUUUAAGGUCUAAAAAAUUAAAAAUCCACUGAAUUUUCUCCUGAUCCUCCAAUAAUCCUGAGUGAUCUUUAAGGUCCCUUCCAACCCAAACCAUCCUGGGCUUCUCUGGCUCUUUUCCCUGGUGGGUGGAAUUUUUUUAAGGAUAUUUUUUUUUUUAAGGAAUUGCAGGAAGAGGAACUUCUUCAAACCAAAAAUGGGAAUUUGGUGAAUCCCUGCUCCCCCAGGAGCUGCAGCAGCUAUGAUGGUCUGGCCAUGGGGGUUGUGAUUUUUAAUUCCUUGUGACUCCUGAAUAUUUUUAAUUUCUGGAUUUCUUCACUCCAGCCAAGGCUCAGACACGGAGCUGCUGCAGGAGGGAGUGCUGGUAUCCAAAAUCUGACUGAAAAUCAGAAUCUUUAGACAAAAAAAAAAAGAUUUUCUUCAUUCUGAUUUCCAGAUGAAAAUAUCAGCAAUGAAUUUGUACAGAUCCUUUCCCAAAGUAACUUCCUCCCUCUUGUCUCCUUUUACUUUUAAUACUUUAUCCAAUAAUAUUUUAAUGAUUUAAUUUUAUUUUAACUAUAGGAAUUUCAGAGUUGCAAAGGCUCUUUCUUGGAGUAAAAAAAACAAAACCCUUGUUGAUACCAUAAAUACUCAUCUUGAUCUAGAUGGAUUUGUUAUUUUUGCACCAGAAUCCCUUUUUUUUUUUUUUUUUCAGUAUAAAGUGCACUUUUUCAUAAAAAAAAAAACUUGUAUUCCUGUCUGAUGAGUGUCUGAUGUGCUGAAAGGAAUAUUCUGCCAAACUCCAGAGCUGAGGGCGUUGUUAAUUCCUCGAGGUAUUCAUUGAAACUUCUGCUCCAUUUUAAACCAAGCAGGGAAGGAAAUCCCUCCCCACAAACAGGAAUUGAAGAUGGGAAACGAAACCAUCACUGCCCUUAGAGAAAAACUCAAAAACCUCCCAAAAUCCACCUUCAGAUUUUCCAUUGCACCAGCCUCGAAUCACAAAUGUUUACCUUGCUGAUCAGGGAGUGCCUUGUCCUGUGCUGGGGGUGGCUUUGCUGGAAAAAUUUGGAUUUGUGGGAAUCCCAAUUAUUAUCCACGGGUGCUCCUCAAAUUCUGAGUUUUUGCUGUCACACAGGGACCUGCCCAAACCACAAUUUUGCUGUUCCGUCCUCACUUCUGCUCGGGCUGCCCCGAUUCCGGAGGGAUUUGCUGGCUCCUCUGUUUGUCCAGACCCUUUUUUGUGUCCCCUUGUGUCUGUGUGGACAUCUCAGGUGUCACCUCGUGCUCGUCAGGACUCUCGGAGCCCCGAUCCCGACCCGUCCGUGCGUUCUUGCAGUGCCUUGUAAAUCCCAAGGGUCCCAAAGCCCCGCGGGGGCUGCGGGCUCGGGGAGCUCCCGGCUUGUACUGCCAGACUGGACUUUGUAACUGAGGAUUAAAACCCCUGGUUCAAAGGAAAUAAAGAGUUUAACUCUGA